rnacentral:lncRNA from 1 species
AUGGAGCAAUUUAUGGACCUUAUGGACUGGUUUAUGGAGGUAAUUUCUAAAUCCCCUGUUUCUCCGCUGGUUCCGUCCAGCCCUGAUCCUCCUGUAUACCCUCCCAGUCUCCCACUCCCACCUCCUCCAGUCAGUUUCUCUGCUCCAUUUCCGCUGGUUCCGCCCAGCCCUGAAUUUUCAGUUUCUCCGCUGGUUCCACCCAGCCCUGAAUUCUCUGUUUCUCUGCUGGUUCCGCCCAGCCCUGAAUCUCCUGUGUCACAGCUGGUUCCGUUCAGCCCUGAAUCUCCUGUAUUCCCUCCCUUCCUCCCUCUCCCGCCACCUCCUAGACCUGCCUGUUCCUCUGCUCCACUUCCACUGGUUCAGUCCAGCCCCGUAUCUCCUGUUUCUCUGCUGGCUCUGUCCAGCCCUGAUCCUCCUGUGUUUCCUCCCUUCCUCCCUCUCUCAUCUCCUCCUAGACCAGCCAGUUCCUCAACCUCAUCUCUGCUGGUGCCAGUCAGUCCCGCAGCUCACCCUCAGUCCGCGCCAUCUGGGCGCGAUGGUUCGCAGCAGGACUUCCAGUCUCCUGCUCUGCCUUGGCUGGUGGAUUCCCCGUCUCCGCCUCCAGCCUCUGAGCCCUGGACUCCUCCUCAGUCCUUUGACCUAGCGGCUCCACCUUGGCUCUUAGCUCCACCGUGGCCUGGCAUCCCACCUGCUCCACCGGGCUCCCUCUUCCCUCCGGCUCCACCUUGGUCAGUCAUCGACCAUCCACCGCCUCAGCACUUCAUUCCUCUGGCUUUGCCUCAUCAAUCCAUCCCUCUGGCUCUAUCAGGCUCCUCCUUCCCUCUGGUUCUGCCUCCAUCCUCAGUCACUCCGGCUCUGCAGUGGUCUUCCUCCUCCACCAUGGCUCCUCCCGCCGUCGACUCCAUCAUAAAUUUCCAUCCUGGCUGGUCUGUGGAGCACCAUUUGGCUCCUCCUGCUCCGGGCCCCUCCCUGGCUCCUCCCUCCAUCCAUCUAGCUCCUUGCUCCCUCUUCUUCUGCCUCUUGCCUGCCCCACGCCGGCCUCCAGAACCCCCACCCUCCCUCCGCUCGUAUUCCUCUCGCGGUGCGAGGACGCACCGUUCCGGGAGGGGGCGAACUGUUACGUUCAUGUUAUAUGUAGUCUGUUAUCUCUAUCGAUGUUCAGUAAACUCCUCUUUGGAUUUAUACCUUCCUUGUGCUCUUAUUCUCUAUGCUAGCAGACACACGACUAUAAAAUGUAUAUGUGUAUAUAUAUAUAUAUAUAUAUAUAUAUAUAUAUAUAUAUAUAUAUAUAUAUAUUAA